rnacentral:lncRNA from 1 species
CACCAAUGGGUCUUCAAUGUAGAGAGAAACUCCCGCACCCGUAGGCGUCCUUCAGCUGGCCCCUUAAAAAAUAUGUAUACUAGAUCACACAAGACUAACAAAGGCCAGAGGCUCCUGACUUGGGACAGGCGCAAAAUUGCGGCGGGGAUAAACAUGUUUAUGAGAUAUCAACCCUCCCCCUAUUCCUCUAGCCAAUGAAGGAAAGUAAAUACGCUUGAUGAACGCUACAAUCCCAGGAAAUUUGUAUGCAGCAUAAAAAAACAUACAACAUACGCCAACAUACGUUUCUAGUACGCCCAAUACACGCUUAAAGCUCGUUUUGCACACGUUACAAAUAUGAUUGACAGGUUAAAUGCAUCCAAAAUUACUAGCGUAUUGGCAGCGUAAAUGAUUUUGAACACGCCAGUGCUAUACGCUGAUGUGUGACGCCGG